rnacentral:rRNA from 1 species
UGAGUAACCUGCCCUUGACUCUGGGAUAAGCCUGGGAAACCGAGUCUAAUACUGGAUACGACCUUCUGGCGCAUGCCAUGUUGGUGGAAAGCUUUUGUGGUUUUGGAUGGACUCGCGGCCUAUCAGCUUGUUGGUGGGGUAACGCUCACCAAGGCGACGACGGGUAGCUGGUCUGAGAGGAUGGCCAGCCACAUUGGGACUGAGACACGGCCCAGACUCCGUACGGGAGCAG